GGUCUGAGCGCGUGUGCGCGCCUGUGGAAUGAAGGGCGCACUUGUUGAGUUUGGGAACUUUCAGAGGCUUGAACUUCUCUCUUUGGACGCGGCGGAGCUCUCUCAUCAUCAUCAUCAUUAUCACCAGGCAACAUGGAUUCCUGCUGACUUUUCACUUCUAGGACUAUGUUUUUCUUUGUCGAAGUGUAUGUUUAUUGUCUUUAGUGUUUUACGCGUUAGACGCGCACCGUUACAGCGCGCAGGAGGAAUAAGUAACAUUACUGAAAGGAUGAAGAAGACGUGCCUUUAAUCGAUUCAUAUCUAUAGGAGAGUUAAAGUUUGGUGGAGAGAGAUGGGAAGCUUUACUGAAGGACGUGUCGUGUCGCUAUGGGACGAUUUAUGGACUAUCAUUGGACUUUAAAUGAGAAUGGAGAACAUCGCUGCUCUCAAGUGGCUCAGAUGGACUGAUGUGAUGCACCUGCGCAAACUGCCCUCAAAAUGAUUAUUAUUUUCCCCCACCUGUGGUGUUUGCACGGCAUAUGAUUUAUGAUUGUCUUCUAUGCAUCAUCAGCCCAAAUCCGAUGGGAAACUACUGCAUGCUGUCAUCUGUUCAGACGGAGUGACAUUUGUCUGGUAGCGAAAUGCAAUGCAAAAUGCAUUUCAUCCGUCACGUCUCAUCGCUCGAGGUGUCAUGCACCUGUCCUGCUGCGUUACCCACAACAUGGCCUCCUUUCCCAGUAAAUCUCUGCCAGUUAGCUGGAAUAAACACAAGGGUCAUGCUAACACCCCUUCAGAGAUCUUCACAGACAGAUUUUCUCAUCUGGAGAGCGAGUGGCUGUCCUCGGCCUUCGAGUGAUUGUCAGCGACACACGGAGACGAGCAGCGGUUUUGAAGCGCUUGAACAUCUGCAUGCGCCUCCAGUUGUUUGUAAUAGUGAUGGUGUAAGGAGAGACACCCUUUUCUCUUUCUGACCCCCCCCUUCCUUCUGAAUCCCACAUCAGUCCAUCUGGUUUAUGUUUGUUUGGCUGCGUCUGGCUUAUAGCUGCAUCGGGGUCCAGAUGGCUUCAGCGCUGUGCUUUAAGUGUCCUGCAUGGGUCAUCUGUGAUGAGGAAGCCCUUCCCUAUACAUUGAUCCAUGGAGAUUAGAGUCUAGCGGUGAAGUGCUGGUCAUUUAUCCUCUACGAGCGUCCCAAAGAGAAAUACAGCGAUGGCUAACCUGUGGAGGGCAGCGCUUGGGGCCAAUCGACUAACGUCAGGCCUCUAUUCUUUUGCUUCUACGGUGAACGGUGGAGAAUUUGUAAAUACGUGAGUCAGAUAUUGGCAAGGACGCUUCAAAAACAGCCUCCUGCAUCAAACAUGACAAUGUUGUGAACCAAAGCGAUGUAUACUGGAAGAAUUCUUCUGUAGUUGGAUCUUCUAAGGUUUUAUGGUGAACUGUCAUUGCAAACAGAGCUGGAAUGUUUGUAGGUUGCUUUGUAAUAUACAAAAGCAUCGUUUGUGGCUUUGUAUACGGUUAAUUUGUUUUCACCAACCGUAAUGUUUGAGAUUCUUAGUCGAUGAAGCACAAUAAAUCAAAUCAUUUCAAUCUUUUUGUUCAUCAUUAUGCUCAAUUGUCAUUUUGGAUGUUGACAUCAUCCCACAAACUACUGGCAGAUGACAAUAAAUGAGGGUAAAUGCAGUUUAAACAGUUUUAAACUGUUAAACAUCCUUUUUUAUCCAGACACAUGGAUUUGUAACUUUAGUUUAUGAAAAGCUUGAGGUAUUUACCUCACAAGAGAUUGGUCAUGUUUGCUAAUAGACCAAUUUUUCAUCCUAUUAAGUGUAGUAAUGCUUUAUAUACUGCGUUGUUACAGAGUGAAUUUGCUAAACAUGCCAUUUUUAUGCUCUGCAUUUCUUUGCAAAUCGCUGUAUUUAUUCCCUUAAGAUAAAUGCUACAUGCACAAUUUUAUAUUAGAUUGUAUUUUUUCAGUGCAAACAUGAUUCUUUUUGUUUAAAUUAGGAUCGUUAAGCUUCAUUUUCAACACCUUGCGCUACAUGCUUGCCGCCCUUAAGACUGUGUAAUUACUGUCUGCAGAAUUUUAUUUAAGUGAGAUGUUUGAUGUGUUCAGCACAGGUAUUUUAACAUGUUUGCAGCGUUACCUGGUUUGUAUGAUUUCCUUCAGGUGCUACUGUAACGCAGACGGCGCAUGCAAAUAAAUAACACU